rnacentral:rRNA from 1 species
CGAUCCUGAUUGCUUAUUGCACCACAUGUGUUUUUCUUUGAAACAAACUUGCUUUGGCGGUGGGCCCAGCCUGCCGCCAGAGGUCUAAACUUGCAACCAAUUUUUUAUCAACUUGUCACACCAGAUUAUUACUAAUAGUCAAAACUUUCAACAACGGAUCUCUUGGUUCUCGCAUCGAUGAAGAACGCAGCGAAAUGCGAUACGUAAUAUGAAUUGCAGAUAUUCGUGAAUCAUCGAAUUUUUGAACGCACAUUGCGCCCUCUGGUAUUCCGGAGGGCAUGCCUGUUUGAGCGUCGUUUCUCCCUCAAACCGCUGGGUUUGGUGUUGAGCAAUACGACUUGGGUUUGCUUGAAAGACGGUAGUGGUAAGGCGGGAUCGCUUUGACAAUGGCUUAGGUCUAACCAAAAACAUUGCUUGCGGCGGUAACGUCUACCACGUAUAUCUUCAAACUUUGACCUCAAAUCAGGUAGGACUACCCGCUGAACUUAAGCAUAUCAAUAGCCGGAGGAA